CAAAGCUCUGGAACAGGCUGCCCAGGGACGUCGUGGAGUCUCCGUCUCUGGAGACAUUCAAAAUCACCUGGACAUGUUCCUACGUCAUCUUCUCUAGGUGACCCUGACUUGGCAGAGGCUGGGGCUAGAUUAUGUGAAUAUCAAGAUUAUCUUAAAUCAGGAUGUUCUUUGAUGCAGGAUCUUUGAAUACUUUCAAUGCUUAUCAGCAAGAAAAAAACUAAUCGGUGGAACAGGCAGCAGCCGGCAUCCCUUAGUCAAGGACAUCCAGGAACUAACAAGUUUUACAGAGUAGAUCUGGGAGCUUUUCUCAGGGCAUGAUCACUGCUGUUUCUCCUGACUGUGUUCUGGUGGCAGCUGUGCUUGGCUUUACCAGACAUGAUGAUUACAGCAUUUGUCCUGUUUCUUCUGGGUGGCUCUAGUACAACCAAAACCUGCCACACUCCUACAGACAGAGGAACUUUCAUGGUUUUAUCAGUCUCUCAGUGGUGAUAUGCUCCUUGUGUCAUCAUGAUAUAUCCAUUUAACUAUGCCUUUCUUUUACUCAGUCACUGUUGAAAGCAGCUGAGAAGACCCUACAAACAGCUUUUUCCAGGCUAGGAUGGAAAGACGGGCCGAUGCCUUCUGUUAAUAGGACACCUGAUAACACCAGAUAAGGCAGUGCCUUCUUAUCUCUUCCUCCACCCAUCCUCCGAGGAGGGACAUCACCAGUGAAUGGGCCAUUUAAGGCCUCUCACAUGACUGAUAACAUUACCUCAUUCCAUUGUGAGAUGCUCCACCCAGCGGGAGGAGCCAAAGCCUUUCCACUGUGAUAAAACCAGCAAUCCCAAACACCAAGGUAACCUGUUUGCACUGGAUUCCCAGAGGAUGACUGGACCUUUUCUCUACUUCAACAGAGCCACAACUGUCACUCUGGAAGGACUUAUCUCGGACUGCUUCCAACACCCUGACCAACAGGGUGUCAGGUUUGCAUUCUGACUCUGUCAGUGGUUGUUGUAUUAUUGAUUUUAUUUUAUAUUUUGUUUUAUUAUUUUAUUUUAUUUUAUAUUUUAAUUUUAUGUUUUAAUUUAUAUUUUUUAAUUUCAUAUUUUUAGAUUUUGUUUUAUAUUUUAUUUUUCUUGUAGUUUGUUCUUCUCUUUCUAUUAAAUUGUAUUUCUGAUUUGGAGUCUCGCUGGUUUUGCUUUCAAACCAGUACACUUGCUAAGGAAGUCAAGUGACAGGAGGCAAGCCAGUCAUGGGACCCUGUUGCUGAAGAUGUGGGGCAUGAGUGCAAGGUGAGCCUUUUAUCUCUUGAUAUUGACUCCCAGCACUCAAGUUCCUCUAAAUCAAAAGACCAUCUCUUUCCUUUCUUAUAUUCCUUACUCCACUCUUUGUUCCUAAAACUUUGUAAACUGUACCCUAGGAUCAUGUCUCCAACCUUUGAGAAGCCCGUACUGUGCAGAACCUAUAAACUGUGUCCUAAGGGAGAGUAGCUAACUAAUAAAUGUCCCAUGAACCACUGUAUCAUUGGCAUAGGUGGUAUUUAGGAGAGUUAGGUUUUUUUACUUUCAAGUUAAUCAACUGCAAUUCAAACUAAAGGAACAAGGGUUAUGUGGAAAGCCAUUAGCUCCAGGGAAGCAUUUUGGUCUAUCUGGUUGUGUGUAGCUGUACAGCCUCAUGUCUCACUGGGUACACCAUUAUUUUUGUUGGGAUGGGAACACGCCCCGUCUACAAAUUAGCAUCCCUGUGAGUUUCUCCCUGGGUGUUCUUACAUAAAUGGAGACAGCACCAUGGCAGGUGCAGUGUGUGUGCUCCUCAGCUGAUUUCAUACAGCCAGUCCACUGUGUACGGUUCGGAUGCUGUAGGUAAGUGUGUGUGUUUGUGUGCAGUUUGGCUAUGUGCAUCAGUGCUAGAGAGGAAGUGAAAGCAACUGGAUCCAAACCGCCAGGACCUGCGGCCUUUGUGGCUGGCCAAAUUGGUGGGGAGCCCCAGAGACUUCUCCACUGGGCUCACCUGCCCUACUCUUCCAGCUGUGUGCUGCACUGGAGGCUGAAUACAGCUCCACUUGUUCACAUGCCAAGGUACAUUAACAGUCGCUUUAUCACAGUGCAGCCCAAUUAAUAUUUGAUUCUGGCAAAUGAAGGAGGCCAGAGAGAUUAAAUGGGGUUGCUAGCUGGAAUGGUGGGGUUAUUGAGAGGCAGAUAUGCUCUUUUUUGUGCAGCCUAGACGAGCAGGACUAAAAGAUUAUCGUAGAGGAGAAAUCAGGAUUCCACCAGGCUGACUGCUCUGUGGGAUGAUGGAGGAGGAGCAGUUCAAGCAGCUGCUUGAACCCUCUGAGCCCUAACCAUACAGAUCUAAUAGAGAGGACAUGGCUAGCUGGCCAGCACUGAUAGAAGGUGCAGGACUUGAAGCAGACUCCUUGGAAAGCUCUGCAGGAAAACGUUGACAGAUCCAGGCCAUAGAGUUCUGAGGAGCAACUUCUGUUUCAUUUACUUGAUGCAUUGUCAGAUAGCAACUCAGUGUCAGUGGUGCACUGUCAGUGCUGCUCAGCAGGACACGUGGCUUAUGUUUCACAGGCCAGGCUGGUGAGAUGAGGCAGAUGGACUCUGUCUCGUGGCAGAAGUGGCUCCUGUGCCAUCCUCUUGUUCACAGAGCUGCCUGAAGUCCCCUGAAGGCUGAGUGGCCCGGUGGGAUUCAGCUGGGUCAGAAGAGGGUGGUCUGGGCUGCUGCUGCUUUAAGACUCUCCCAGGUGUGAUUAUUGCUACCCAAGUAUGUGUCAAUUCACUUCCCAACUGAAAAGCCAAAACAAUUUCCAGGCAGUUUGCAGGUUUUCUGAUUCACUUGUUUGCUUUUCUUCAAUUCUCUCCUUUAUUUCUUUUCUUUCUCUCUUCUAUGUCUAUUCACUCCUGUCAGCUGCCUGCUUGGAUUUUAGUUUGUUUCAAGGGCAGAAGAAACUCAUUUUUUGAUUUCAUAUUUGGUGCAUAAAUAGC